CCUACGGGAGGCAGCAGUGGGGAAUCUUGCGCAAUGGGCGAAAGCCUGACGCAGCAACGCCGCGUGCGGGAAGAAGGCCUUCGGGUUGUAAACCGCUUUCAGCAGGAACGAAAAUGACGGUACCUGCAGAAGAAGGUGCGGCCAACUAUGUGCCAGCAGCCGCGGUGAUACAUAGGCACCAAGCGUUGUCCGGAUUUAUUGGGCGUAAAGAGCUCGUAGGCGGUUCAGUCAGUCGGGUGUGAAAACUCUGGGCUUAACCCAGAGCCUGCACCCGAUACUGCUGUGACUAGAGUUCGGUAGGGGAGCGGGGAAUUCCUGGUGUAGCGGUGAAAUGCGCAGAUAUCAGGAGGAACACCGAUGGCGAAGGCACCGCUCUGGGCCGAAACUGACGCUGAGGAGCGAAAGCAUGGGUAGCAAACAGGAUUAGAUACCCUGGUAGUCCAUGCCGUAAACGUUGGGCACUAGGUGUGGGGUUCCAAUCAACGGAAUCCGCGCCGUCGCUAACGCAUUAAGUGCCCCGCCUGGGGGAGGUACGGUCGCGAGACUAAACUACGAAGAAGUAGACGGCGNGAGACGUGCCGACGGACGACGACGAGGGAGAGG
rnacentral:rRNA from 1 species